rnacentral:ncRNA from 2 species
UAAACACUUCAGGGCAGAGUGAAAUUCUCUACUGGCGGUAGACUCCGCGAACCCGACAGGGCCGAAUCGGUGCAAUUCCGGUAGCAACAGUCAAAGUCUGGAUGGAAGAAGGUUUUU